UACGUAGGGGGCAAGCGUUGUCCGGAUUUAUUGGGCGUAAAGCGCGUGUAGGCGGUCCGGUAAGUCCGCUGUGAAAGUCGGGGGCUCAACCCUCGAAUGCCGGUGGAUACUGUCGGGCUAGAGUGCGGAAGAGGCGAGUGGAAUUCCUGGUGUAGCGGUGAAAUGCGCAGAUAUCAGGAGGAACACCAAUUGCGAAGGCAGCUCGCUGGGACGUAACUGACGCUGAGACGCGAAAGCGUGGGGAGCAAGCAGG
rnacentral:rRNA from 1 species